AUACAUGCAGUCGAACGGUUGUAGCAAUACAGCAGUGGCAGACGGGUGAGUAACACGUGGGAACCUACCUAGGGGUACGGAAUAACUCAGGGAAACUUGUGCUAAUACCGUAUACGACCUUCGGGUGAAAGAUUUAUCGCCCCUAGAUGGGCCCGCGUUGGAUUAGCUAGUUGGUGGGGUAAAAGCCUACCAAGGCGACGAUCCAUAGCUGGUCUGAGAGGAUGAUCAGCCACACUGGGACUGAGACACGGCCCAAACUCCUACGGGAGGCAGCAGUAGGGAAUCUUGGACAAUGGGCGAAAGCCUGAUCCAGCCAUGCCGCGUGAGUGAUGAAGGCCUUAGGGUUGUAAAGCUCUUUCGCCAGGGAAGAUAAUGACGGUACCUGGAUAAGAAGCCCCGGCAAACUUCGUGCCAGCAGCCGCGGUAAUACGAAGGGGGCUAGCGUUGUUCGGAAUUACUGGGCGUAAAGCGCACGUAGGCGGUUUUCCAAGUUGGAGGUGAAAUCCCUGGGCUCAACCCGGGAACUGCCUCCAAAACUGGAUGACUCGAGUCCGAGAGAGGUGAGUGGAAUUUCCAGUGUAGAGGUGAAAUUCGUAGAUAUUGGAAAGAACACCAGUGGCGAAGGCGGCUCACUGGCUCGGUACUGACGC
rnacentral:rRNA from 1 species